AAUCUUCCGCAAUGGGCGCAAGCCUGACGGAGCAACGCCGCGUGAGUGACGAAGGUCCUCGGAUUGUAAAACUCUGUCCAGAGGGAAGAAAUAAGUGACGGUACCACUGGAGGAAGCCCCGGCUAACUACGUGCCAGCAGCCGCGGUAAAACGUAGGGGGCGAGCGUUGUCCGGAAUUACUGGGCGUAAAGGGCGUGUAGGCGGCCAAGUAAGUCAGUCGUGAAACCCACCGGGUUAACCGGUGGCUGGCGAUUGAAACUGUUUGGAUUGAGUGCAGUAGAGGGGAGUGGAAUUCCCAGUGUAGCGGUGAAAUGCGUAGAUAUUGGGAGGAACACCGGUGGCGAAAGCGGCUCCCUGGCCUGUAACUGACGCUGAGGCGCGAAAGCGUGGGUAGCAAACAGG
rnacentral:rRNA from 1 species